rnacentral:lncRNA from 1 species
CAAUACAAUUACCAAGUUAUUCAACAUGGAAGGCUUUGCCAAGACAGUGGUGGCUGGGAUUUGACCCUCUAAGUGUGAGCACAUCACUUCAGCCCCAGGGUUGGAUUAAUUAAGGCCUGCAUGCACACUCCUCCUCCCAUCCUGAGAAUGAUGGUAAAGGUCACAGCUACUAAAACCACAAAGGCCUCAAUGACAUCCUAUUUCAGUGUUAGAAUUCCAAGAAGGCUUUUGUUAAAAUAAAC